rnacentral:rRNA from 1 species
CCUACGGGUGGCAGCAGUGGGGAAUAUUGCACAAUGGGGGAAACCCUGAUGCAGCGACGCCGCGUGAGUGAAGAAGUAUUUCGGUAUGUAAAGCUUCAUCUGCAGGGAAGUAAAUGACGGUACCUGUCUAAGAAGCCCCGGCUAAAUACGUGCCAGCAGCCGUGGCAAUACGUAGGGGGCCAGCGUUAUCCGGAUUUACUGGGUGUAAAGGGAGCGUAGACGGCCAGACAAGUCAGAAGUGAAAGCCCAGGGCUCAACCCUGGGACUGCUUUUGAAACUGCCGGGCUGGAGUGCAGGAGAGGUAGGCGGAAUUCCUGGUGUAGCGGUGAAAUGCGUAGAUAUUAGGAAGAACACCAGUAGCGAAGGCAGCUUACUAGACUGUAACUGACGUUGAGGCUCGAAAGCGUGGGGAGCAAACAGGAUUAGAUACCCCAGUAGUC